rnacentral:rRNA from 1 species
GCGCGCAAAUUACCCAAUCCUGACACGGGGAGGUAGUGACAAUAAAUAACAAUACCGGGCGCGUUAGUGUCUGGUAAUUGGAAUGAGUACAAUCUAAGUCCCUUAACGAGGAUCCAUUGGAGGCAAGUCUGGUGCCAG